rnacentral:rRNA from 1 species
CACGUAGUUAGCCGGGGCUUCUUACUCAGGUACCGUCAUUUCUUUCUUCCCUGCUGAUAGAGCUUUACGUACCGAGGUACUUCUUCACUCACGCGGCGUCGCUGCAUCAGGGUUUCCCCCAUUGUGCAAUAUUCCCCACUGCUGCCUCCCGUAGGAGUCUGGGCCGUGUCUCAGUCCCAAUGUGGCCGGUCACCCUCUCCAGGCCGGCUACCGAUCGUCGCCUUGGUGGCUCCUAUCCCGCAACUAGCUAAUCGGACGCGGAUCCAUCAUGUACCACCUGAGUUUUUCACACCGGACCAUGCGGUCCUUGUGCGCUUAUGCGGUAUUAGCACCAUUUCCUAAGUGUUAAUCCCCGGUACACGGCAGGUUAUCCACGCGUUACUCACCCGUCCGCACUAACUCGCCUUCACUAGGUUUCAGGCUCUGUCCGUUCGACUUGCAUGUGUUAGGCACGCGCAGCGUUCAUCCUGAGCCAGGAUCAAAUCU